UACGUAGGUGGCAAGCGUUGUCCGGAUUUACUGGGCGUAAAGAGCGCGCAGGCGGUCAGAUAAGUCGAAUGUGAAAGCCCCCGGCUCAACUGGGGAGGGUCAUUCGAUACUGUUCGACUCGAAGGCAGGAGAGGGAAGUGGAAUUCCCGGUGUAGUGGUGAAAUGCGUAGAUAUCGAGAGGAACACCUGUGGCGAAGGCGGCCUUCUGGACAGUGACUGACGCUGAGACGCGAAAGCGUGGGGAGCAAACAGG
rnacentral:rRNA from 1 species